rfam:Erinaceus europaeus unplaced genomic scaffold scaffold00485, whole genome shotgun sequence
GGAUGUGAGGGUGAUCUGGCUGCGACAUCUGUCACCCCAUUGAUUCCCAGGGUUGAUUUAGCUGAUCUUCUUCCCCGCCACUCCAUGUGCAUCCCUCCCAAAGCUGAGCACUCAGUCAAAGAGGAUGGCCUUCUCCAAAUAGAGAUGGACCAGUCUUCAGUUGAGGGCAUAUGUGUAGCUGUGCUCCCCUGAUAGAACCUCCAAAUAAGCUCUCAAGGUCCAACUAAGGAAAAUACAAAACAAAACUGUUUUGAGUCCCUUACUUUAAUUCAUU